rfam:Pseudomonas resinovorans NBRC 106553 DNA, complete geonome.
AGACCAAGGGGCCGGGUUGUACCGCGUCAACUGGAGCGGCAUGACCUAGGGGUAAACGGGGUACCUCCGCAGCCGCGGGCCGGGUCAGGCGAGCU